rnacentral:rRNA from 1 species
GACGAACGCUGGCGGCAUGCUUAACACAUGCAAGUCGAACGGAAAGUCCCUGCUUUUGUGGGGUGCUCGAGUGGCGAACGGGUGAGUAACACGUGAGUAACCUGCCCUUGACUUUGGGGUAACUUCAGGAAACUGGGGCUAAUACCGGAUAGGAGCUCCUGCUGCAUGGUGGGGGUUGGAAAGUUUCGGCGGUUGGGGAUGGACUCGCGGCUUAUCAGCUUGUUAGUGGGGGAGUGGCUUACCAAGGCUUUGACGGGUAGCCGGCCUGAGAGGGUGACCGGACACAUUGGGACUGAGAUACGGCCCAGACUCCUACGGGAGGCAGCAGUGGGGAAUAUUGCACAAUGGGCGGAAGCCUGAUGCAGCACCGCCGCGUGCGGGAUGACGGCCUUCGGGGUGUAAACCGCUUUCGCCUGUGACGAAGCGUGAGUGACGGUAAUGGGUAAAGAAGCACCGGCUAACUACGUG